UCGGAAUAUUCUCCAAUACGUUCCUCUCCACUCAGAAUCUAAAAUCUUAAAAACACAGACAAUUCUAUACAAUUCUAUAGUUAAAAAUGACCUAAUUCAAUUUCCUAUUUGAGUUUUAAAACACAAUAACUAUUAUUAAUCUAAUAUGGCUCAGAACCAUUUUUCAUUGGCAUUGAUAGGUUGUGUACAGAUAUGAAAUAAUUCACCCUAUGUAUCCUGUACCUUC